AAACCAUGGUGUGGGCAUAUCUGAAGAAAUUUUUUGAAUCUCUCUUGUGCUUCAAAUAAAGUUUCAUCUUGCUUUUAGUAGAAAUCCACAAUUAAUCUUCUUAUUUU